AAAAAAUAUUAGUAGAUAGAUAAAAAUAAUAUAUAAAUAUUUAUCUUAAAAAGAAAAGAUAUGGAAUGAUAAAAAUAUUUAAUAAAAAAAUAAAAUAUUAAUAGUUGGAGAAAAAAGAGGAACUAUCUUUAGAUUAUUUAUUUUGUGUACGAAAAAAAAGAAAUUUUGAAAUAGAUCUAUUGAAGGACCGAAAUUUAAAGUACGUAAUUAUAUAUAUAUAUAUAUAUAUAUAUAAUUUGGUUUCUAGAUACUUCAAGUGGUAUAGAUCCUAUUCAACGGUGUCGAUCGUCAAUUUAAAGAUUCCAUCAUCGAAAACAAAUGGGUGGCAACGGAGCCAAUU
rnacentral:lncRNA from 1 species